CAACUCUCACGCACGCGCAGAGGAGCUCACAGUGCCAGCUUGCUGUUUUAGUCUUCCAGUAUUCCAGGUGCCCGGCCCAGACACAGAAGAAGACCCGAAUCCAUAUAGACGAGGUAACAGUGCAGUAGAUUUACAGUGCACGCAGGGCCAAAGGGCUCGGAGAGCAUUGAUCUUAGAGUACUGAGAAAAGCGCUAUAUAAAUGUAAUGAAUUAUUAUUAUUAUUAUUAUUAUCUAUAAAACCGUUCAUAAUGUAGUUUAUCAAUCUGCGAAUUUCAUUUUGAUGGUGAUUAUUACUAAUGUUACUGUGGACCGAUUGCCUCACCCAGUAAUGUAAUAACCCCGGAGUGAUGGCAUGUAGAAGGUUAUUUCCACUUCACAACAAGUCCUGCAAGGAUUGAUGGCAUUCCUGUGGAUCCCCAGCCUCACUCAAAUUAGAGGAAUGCCUUCUUGUUGCAACAUGGUCACUGCACAUGUAUCAAUUGGAAACAAGAGGGUUCAAGGAGUGAAAAGACUCCCACUGAGGGCAACUAACUCCAACAUUAAUAGCUGCAGAACUAUAAGAGCACAGACACUUCCAAGAAUCCUCCGGACCUAAACUGCAAACAGUUUUCAAAGAAGACCUGUUGAUUCUCGUUAAAGACUCCACAAAGACUCAUCUUUAGUUUAUUUAAAAUACCUCUGUAUACGACA